GACGAACGCUGGCGGCGUGCUUAACACAUGCAAGUCGAACGAAGUGGCGAACGGGUGAGUAACGCGUAAUCCACCUGCCCUUCAGUGGGGGACAACAGUUGGAAACGACUGCUAAUACCGCAUACUGAAGGUGGGGAUUGCGUCGGAUUAGCUAGUUGGGGGGGUAACGGCCCACCAAGGCGAUGAUCAGUAGCCGGUCUGAGAGGAUGACCGGCAACAUUGGGACGGAGACACGGCCCAGACUCCUACGGGAGGCAGCAGUGGGGAAUCUUCCGCAAUGGACGAAAGUCUGACGGAGCAACGCCGCGUGAGUGAUGAAGGCCUUCGGGUUGUAAAGCUCUGUUAGUAGGGACGCGGUACCGGAAUAGAAAGCAACGGCUAACUACGUGCCAGCAGCCGCGGUAAUUC
rnacentral:rRNA from 1 species